CUUAUACUUUUUUUUGUUUUGAAAGGGGGUACUUUAUUUAAAAAAAGUUGAAACACUGGGCUAGAGAAACAGAACUAAGUUGUCAACUAGAGUAAAAGGAUGAGCAAAACAUCAUGGUCUGAUGUGGCUGUUGGAGAUGAAUUCGAGGAAUCUGUGCAUGCAUUCCUGACUGCCCGCAGUUCUAGGACAUUUACGUACAAGUUCUUUUCGAUGCUGGACCACAGGCCCUGGUAGGUAUGUCAUCGUAGACUGGGCGCCCCAUUCUGUACAAAAUGCAUCUGUCGUCAUGGAGACGGAUGGUUCUGGUGCGUGGAAAGGGACUCCGGAGCCAAGGUUCCAUGGGCUUAGCCAGCAACGUAAGGAUUCCUUUGCUAUCCCUGGAAGGGCUAGUGAUUUGGAUAGCAGAUGGACAUUGAGUUUGUACACCUGUCCCAGCCAGCUCUGUAAACAAUCUCAUGUACAGACGCGCAUUGCUGACUACGAAGUUGCACACUGCCAUGUGCCCCAAUAGCCGAAGACAUUCGAGUGCUGUUGCGCAGGGGCUGGAUCCUAAGGUACGCUGUGACAACCGCCAGUGACUUUGAGAAGACCCUUGGGGCCACAGACAGUCCAAAUGGAAGCACUUUGUAUUGGUAGUGUUGAAAAUCUACAAUGAAAUGAAGAAAAUGCCUGAGCCCUCUAUCAGAAGUUAUACAUUGCCAGUUGUUGAAGGGCAACAAUAGAUGAUAGAAGAGAUUUGCUUGCAUUGAAAUAGGUGAGAGGCUCUCCAGACACUUGACCUGAUGAUCAGAUUUGCUUGUUGGACUGCUUCAACUGUUGGGAAUUGGUAAAGAAAGAGUGCUGUCGUUGGUUUCUGCCUCUGCCUUUGUUCUGUUACUACUGUAGUGCUGUGCGUAUGGGGGGGUAGUGAGGUCUCAGGUAGGGCUGAUACCUAUAUUGUCUUCUUCUAGGUACUUGGCUGUGGAUCCCCAAAGACCAAAGCAUCACUCUGGAAUCUUUUAUGGAGUGGAGCAUUUCAUUGGUGUUAGCUUCAAAGAACUUCUGUCCAUCGAAAGGCAGAUCUACCGUAGAUUAAAUCUCCCUGGGGAACGGAGUGGAGCUAAACCACAAUGCCCUCCUCAUUACUACCGCUAUUGCUGUAGAACAUGCAGCCAUGUCAGCAGCAUCUAAAGUGGCCUGUAAUGCUGUUCUUGCAAUCGUGUGACCCUUGGAUAUCAGUGCUUUGUAGUGUUGCCUCAAGGAUGUGUGCAACAAAGUCGUUCAAUUUUGUGUAAUUUCUGUUAUCAUAUUUGCUCAAUAAAGCUGCGUAAUUCAAAAUGCGAAAUUGUAAAGUAGAAGAUGUAUAUAUCUCGCGCCAGAAUGCAUCAAGCCUUUUCUAUCGUGGUCCAGUGGGGUAGACCAGCAUUGUUGCUGCUUGGAUUUUAGUUGUACAGCUUCCACCACGAGGGAAUUUGGUUCUGGGUGAGAAAAGGAAAUUCAGAACUCUUGGGUGGGACAUAAUAUUUCUUAUCCGUUCCCUUAGCCAUCAAAGAGAUUGACGCCAGAGAUUGCCACACCAUCUUUGCAGAUUCCAUUAUUGCUGGAUUAAUUGGCAAUGGUAUUUUUGAUGGUGUUACUGAGUGCAGUACAGGACGCCCCGGUUUACAACCCCCAUCACUUACAACCUUUUCCUGCCGUAAAUGCAGGCUCGAGUUACGACACCCUCAACUUGUGACACUAUCCCUGGAGCCAAUUACAUCGCAAGUCUGGGGCAGCCUGUAUGUCUGUUAGCUCGUGCUGAUUUUCCACAGCCUCAUGAAGGGGAAUUUUUAAUUCAGCAGCUACACGUUUAAAAAGGUCUUGGAAAUGUGCAGCGUCGUCUGAAGUUGUUGUAGCUGCGGCCAGAGACCCUCCCUCCAGUGGAGGGAGGUUAUUUGGGUCAGGAGGGGUAUUGUCUCCUGUGUGAGUGGGUACCCUUUCAGUAUUUGUUUGAAGGAGGAAUAUUGCACUCGGUGUCGUUUCUGGCCAUACUGGUAUUUAUGAUAAUACUUCCAUUUGUACCAGUACUGGCAGUAAGCAUAAGGCUUGACAAA